CACGUCACCGUAACUUUUACAUUCAUCCUUUUAAUCAAUACCGAGUUAUAUGUCUCUGCGACAAGCACACGUGUGCUUUUCUCUUUCCGCCCCUUUUUUUUCGUGUAACUAAACAUCUUUCUUUUAUAUAUAAAAGACCCCUGCGUUUAGUAUCCUUCUACGACAAUCUACUGUAUUUCUAUUUCUGUAUACAUACAAAUAGAAGCGAGAAAUCUUUUAUGAUACCAGAAGAGCUCACACCCCCACAAAACAAAAUGAUCCCUUUCUAAUUUUCCCUGUGCUAAAAUCAAACGAUGUAAUAAAUGCGCUCUUUCCAAUUAUCCUAUGUGACGAACCCCUGUGGUAUCACCACAUUAGAAGAGUACAGCUGCAAAUAAUCAUAGUCAUACUUUCGUAUCCUGAAGAAGCUGGUUCACACCCCCCUUUUUACGUUCAACUGAGAGAGAAGGACUGAACUUUGACUUCCAAAAUUAGGGUGAAAAUAUAUAGUAGGACAAUAAAAUUUUAUCUAUUCUCUUACGAAAACUCAGUAUAAAAGGGCUACAUUUUCAUGGAGAGAUCAGUUCUGGGAUCCUCUUCAUACGUAUAACAUCAACUAGUUCUGGGAUCCUCUUCAUACGUAUAACAUCAACUAGUUCUGGGAUCCUCUUCAUACGUAUAACAUCAACUAGUUCUGGGAUCCUCUUCAUACGUAUAACAUCAACUAGUUCUCAAAUUAUCUUCAUACGUAUCAAUCUCAUUCUUGGUGCCAGUCGACGUCUUAUAGUACAAGUGCAUAAUUCUCCUUUAUCAAAGUGAAAAUCAAGCAUCAAUACCCUCUACAUAAAACGAGGAUCAUCACUACUUAUUGCAUUGGGCAAUUAUCUAUUUUAUUUGGAAGAGACUCAUUAUUCGGACAUUCGUCACGCCUAAUAGAACUCCGGACCUGCGGUUAUACCUGGGCCCGUCAACCUUCCGGACGUCAUAACUCACGCUGGUACCAGCUCCUUUUCCUGUGUCAACAAAGGACACAGCAGUGGUCCUUUUCUUUAUUGAAACUUAUCUACUACUGAAUUUUAAGGUAAUAUGAACGCGCAAACUAUGAAAAGGGUAAAUUCUCCAGUAACAGAUUUGGAGAAUUUAGCCAUUGAAUUCUCGUUUACAAAACCUAUAUACUUAAUACCGGAAUCGAGGGACCAGGACAUAGCGACAUGUUCUAUAGAACAUGAAAAUGAUUAUUUAGAAGUAUCUAUAGAGAAACAUUCAAAUACAAAAGACACUAAAAGAAAACUCGCUCAGACAAUGUUAAAAAGAUUACAUAUGCGAUAUGAUUUUAAUAAUCAUGAAAAUGAGAUAGAUACCUGGAGCGAUAAAGUCCAAUUAAUAAAAUGGAGUUCUUCUUGCGAACGAUGUUUCGAGCGAUAUCAUAUAGCGAAAAACUGUUUCAAUGUUAAGAGAAAUAAAAAUUAUUCAGAUUAAAAUAAAGCCAAAACUUGUUGUAUAUCUAAAAUAUUGUAUUCAUGUCAAAACUUCGGAAGAUCCUCGUUUUUCUUCUAAAGGAGGGAGGGAUGUAUAGAUAUAUAUCUAUAUAUAUACACAUAGUACAAUGCGUCUUCAUAAAAUUAUACCUGUAUUCAGAAAGGAAAAAGUAGCGAAAAUUUUUUCUAUUUUUACAUCCUUCCUCCUUUAUAUUAUAAAUGUAUGCGAUUAAUUUAAGGAAUUAAAUAUAAAACUCACUUAACAUAUAUGUCUAUUAUAAAUUUUACUGUGUGGAAUGAGUUUCUUUAUAUGUGUGAUUAGAAAUAACAUAUUCCAAAAUCUUGAUAAAUCUUAAAUCAUUGUGUGUUUUUCUAAUAUCUUAUAAUAAGAUUACUUCUGCGUAAAUCAAUGUAUAAUCACUAAAUCAAAAUGAUAUUAUAAAUUAUGUAUAAAAAAUAUAAUUGAACUCUGUCAUCAUCAGAAUAUAAUCUAUCUGUAUGCACUAUGUAUUGAAAACUUAUAUCUUAUUCUAAAUUAACCAAUGUGAAAAGAGCAAAUAAUAUUAAUGCAUUUUUAAAAUCCUCUAUAAUACAUGGUAUGAGUGUCUUUAUAAAUAUAAUUAAAAAUCCUUUUUAUAUACUACUUCUACUAAUUCUGUGAGCUUUUACGAAAGUAUUUCAAAUUUGUAUAUGCUUCUAUACAUAAGAUUCUAAUCUCUAUAAUUAAAUCAGUUUUAAAUCACGUAUGAUUAUUAAAUCAAAAAAGAUAGUAUGGGAUAUGUGUGAAAAUCUUUGAAAUCAUUAACAAUAAUAUUUGUAUGUAUUUUUCAAUAUAUAUAAACCUAUAUCUUAACUUGGUGUGAAACUAUAUCAUGUGUAUGACGUAUUUUCUCUUAGGCCUUUUAAACAUUGAUGUCUAAAAACUUUACAUAAUAUAAUCAAAAUUAUAAGUGACAUUUCCCUCAAAUAACUUAACUCUUCUCAAAAACUGAAUUCGUAAAUUAUUCAACUUCAUUUCUAAUUUCCGAAUUUUAAAGGGGGGAGGUGUCACGUCACCGUAACUUUUACAUUCAUCCUUUUAAUCAAUACCGAGUUAUAUGUCUCUGCGACAAGCACACGUGUGCUUUUCUCUUUCCGCCCCUUUUUUUUCGUGUAACUAAACAUCUUUCUUUUAUAUAUAAAAGACCCCUGCGUUUAGUAUCCUUCUACGACAAUCUACUGUAUUUCUAUUUCUGUAUACAUACAAAUAGAAGCGAGAAAUCUUUUAUGAUACCAGAAGAGCUCACACCCCCACAAAACAAAAUGAUCCCUUUCUAAUUUUCCCUGUGCUAAAAUCAAACGAUGUAAUAAAUGCGCUCUUUCCAAUUAUCCUAUGUGACGAACCCCUGUGGUAUCACCACAUUAGAAGAGUACAGCUGCAAAUAAUCAUAGUCAUACUUUCGUAUCCUGAAGAAGCUGGUUCACACCCCCCUUUUUACGUUCAACUGAGAGAGAAGGACUGAACUUUGACUUCCAAAAUUAGGGUGAAAAUAUAUAGUAGGACAAUAAAAUUUUAUCUAUUCUCUUACGAAAACUCAGUAUAAAAGGGCUACAUUUUCAUGGAGAGAUCAGUUCUGGGAUCCUCUUCAUACGUAUAACAUCAACUAGUUCUGGGAUCCUCUUCAUACGUAUAACAUCAACUAGUUCUGGGAUCCUCUUCAUACGUAUAACAUCAACUAGUUCUGGGAUCCUCUUCAUACGUAUAACAUCAACUAGUUCUCAAAUUAUCUUCAUACGUAUCAAUCUCAUUCUUGGUGCCAGUCGACGUCUUAUAGUACAAGUGCAUAAUUCUCCUUUAUCAAAGUGAAAAUCAAGCAUCAAUACCCUCUACAUAAAACGAGGAUCAUCACUACUUAUUGCAUUGGGCAAUUAUCUAUUUUAUUUGGAAGAGACUCAUUAUUCGGACAUUCGUCACGCCUAAUAGAACUCCGGACCUGCGGUUAUACCUGGGCCCGUCAACCUUCCGGACGUCAUAACUCACGCUGGUACCAGCUCCUUUUCCUGUGUCAACAAAGGACACAGCAGUGGUCCUUUUCUUUAUUGAAACUUAUCUACUACUGAAUUUUAAGUUGAAUGCUGAACUCAUUUCCUGGAUUGGUUGGUUCGAGAUUCCCUCUCUCUCACAUAAGAACGAACUAUUUUAACCCAUUAAAAUUUGUCUAAAUAAAAUUGUAACUUAAUUAUAAAAAUUUCUAUUCUCUUUCUUACCUGUACCCUUAGUUCAGAGCCUUCUGCUCUGUAAAUGAAACAGGAUUACCCUGAAUCACCGAAGCGGAAAUAAAUAAAAAUAAAA